GAUGAACGCUGGCGGCGUGCCUAGUACAUGCAAGUCGAGCGAACGGACGAGAAGCUUGCUUUUCUGAUGUUAGCGGCGGACGGGUGAGUAACACGUGGAUAACCUACCUAUAAGACUGGGAUAACUUCGGGAAACCGGAGCUAAUACCGGAUAAUAUUUUGAACCGCAUGGUUCAAAAGUGAAAGACGGUCUUGCUGUCACUUAUAGAUGGAUCCGCGCUGCAUUAGCUAGUUGGUAAGGUAACGGCUUACCAAGGCAACGAUGCAUAGCCGACCUGAGAGGGUGAUCGGCCACCCUGAAACUGCGAGCCGGAAAAGAGUCCUACGGGAGGCACGAUUAGGGAAUCUUACGCAAUGGCCGAAAGCCUGACGGAGCAACGCCGCGUGAGUGAUGAAGGUCUUCGGAUCGUAAAGCUCUGUUAUUAGGGAAGAACAUAUGUGUAAGUAACUGUGCACAUCUUGACGGUACCUAAUCAGAAAGCCACGGCUAACUACGUG
rnacentral:rRNA from 1 species